rnacentral:rRNA from 1 species
AACGCGAAGAACCUUACCAGUCCUUGACAUGCCACGACGGUUUCCAGAGAUGGACUCCUCCCCGCAAGGGGCGUGGACACAGGUGCUGCAUGGCUGUCGUCAGCUCGUGUCGUGAGAUGUUGGGUUAAGUCCCGCAACGAGCGCAACCCUCGCCCUUAGUUGCCAUCAUUUAGUUGGGCACUCUAAGGGGACUGCCGGUGAUAAGCCGCGAGGAAGGUGGGGAUGACGUCAAGUCCUCAUGGCCCUUACGGGCUGGGCUACACACGUGCUACAAUGGCGGUGACAAUGGGACGCAAUGGAGCAAUCCUGCGCAAAUCUCAAAAAGCCGUCUCAGUUCGGACUGUGCUCUGCAACUCGAGCACAUGAAGUUGGAAUCGCUAGUAAUCGCAGAUCAGCACGCUGCGGUGAAUACGUUCCCGGGCCUUGUACACACCG